AUGAACUAUUUAAAAUGCAAAUUUGACCUUUUCACUCCUUUGCUUAAAGCUUUUCAGUGUCUUCCCACGUCCUGUAAGUAAAGUUCAUGGCCCUCCCAUGAUUUGACCCCUGUUUACUUCUCCAACCUCCUAACCAUUUCUGUCCCUCAACUUCAGUUCCUGCAAUACUGAUCUGUAUGUAGUUCCAUUCACACAUUAUGGCAUUCCUCCUCCUAGUCUUCAUUUAUGCUGUCUACUCCUACUGCAAUUGCCUCUCCUCCGCUUUCCCUCCUUUUCUUGACUGAACUCAUAUUUAUCCUUUGAGACUGAGGUGAAUAUUUCCUUUUCCAGAAAUCCUUCUCUUACCCUCUAGAUUAUAUUGGGCAUCUGUGUCCCCUCCGUGCCUUCUUUCAGUUCUGUGGAUGUCUUUAUUACUGGACUCAACACAAUGAUCUGUUUAUGUGAUAGUGAGUUCUUUGUGGACAAGCUUAGUGUUUUAUUCAUUUUUGUAUCUUUAGCAUCCAGCAGAGUGUCUGACACAUAGUUGGAGUUCAGUGAAUCUUUGCCGAAUUGAGUUGAGGAGAGAGAGAUCCAGAGAAUAAGAAAAGGGAUACAAGGAAACAAUGGAGAGAAAGUAUUCUAGGAUUAGAGGUGUAUUUUAUUAUGUUGGAAAUCAUCCUUGUUCACUGCAAACAUAGCUUCAGAAUACUUUUGCUCUUACUUGUGCUCUAUGAAAUACAAAUUAACUUAAUUACUAAUUUUCAACCAGUCCAAAUCAUAAUCUUUAGAGAUUAGGUCUGAAUGAGAGCCAUAGCAGCCCACAAUACUGGAAAGUGUUAUCUGGUCUGCUGCAGCUCUGAACAGAGCAGGGGCAAAUGGAAUAAAAUUGAGGACUGCUUUCUUGCCGUAUCCAGAGAACUUUUCCCUCAGUGUGCAACUCCAGUCAUGGGCCACCCAAGCUGCUUGUUUCUUUCUCUUUAGUGAAAAAAUUCCUUUGGAUUAUCCAAAGGGUAGUUUAGGAGAACUAAACCACAGUGUGACUGAAAGAUGUUGAAAGAAAGUACACAGUAAGCUCUUCAUGAUCUGACUCGGUUUACCUCUUCAGUCCUACCUUUCUUUGAUUCCUCACCCACUUUGAUAUAACCAUGACAAACUACUUAGAUUUGACUGAAUGUGCUAUGCCCCUAUGUAUUUAUCUACUCCUACUCCCUGAAAGGCUUUUCUUCUCCUAUGUCUUUGCCUGGACAAUUCUGGAUAAUCUUCAAGACUCAGUUCGGUUGUUGAGUCUUCUAGAGUUAGGACUAGACUUACUCUUUUCUUAAAUUCUUUCAAUUUGUGUUAGAAACCAUAAUACACUUGUUACCUCUCAUAACAAUUAACUUAUUGUAUUAAAAUCAGGUUUUAUUUGUCUUUCCAUCUCCCUACCUUCAAUGCUGAGAUCCCCUUGAGGACAGUGACUAUAACUAAUUUCAGUAUCCCUAGCAUUUGGUAUGACAAAGCCAGUUUUCCAUGAUUAUUUGUAGGGCCAAUCAAUGAAAAAAAUUAUGAAAAUAUGAAUGACGAGCAAAAGCAACUCUUAAGCUCCCUGAAAAUAUGAACAAACAGCAGCUACAUUAACCAAAGUGACUAUUCAAUAAGAAGUGGUGUAUAUAAAAAUCUUUUUAUAAACUAUAAGGUGCUAUAAAAGCAUUAAUUAGUCUUACUAGGUUAGAAUGUCCUACCCCCUCCCUUACGUGAGGCUGGUGAUGUACCUGCUCUGCCUCUCUCUAACUCACCCUUUUUUUUUUUUUUUGUGAGGAAGAUCAGCCCUGAGCUAACAUCUGAUGCUGAUCCUCCACUUUUUACUGAGGAAGAUUGGCCCUGAGCUAACAUCCAUGCCCAUCUUCCUCUAGUUUAUAUGGGACGCCGCCACAACAUGGCUCGGUUCCAGUGAUAUGGACUGAGUCCUUUCUUUUUUGGACCUUGUGAUGCGACUCUAGAGAUACAUAUGGAUAUACUUCCAUCUUCAGUCCCUAUGACCCCUUGGUGGAUAGCUGAUGCCUCCAGAUGACUUACGCAGUUGGAUUUGGUUGAAAAAUGCACAACUUAACUUGACCCUGGAAGGAAAUUGAAGCAUUUGUGAUUCUGUAAUAAGGUCAUAUAUUUAGAUAAAAUUUUAUAAUUUAUUAUAUACUUUGACUUGCAUGUAUCACGUCAUUUAAUUGUCACCUUAACCUUGUGAGGUGUAGUUUCCUGUUUUGAUUAGGAAGCCAAAGCUCAGAGAGAUUGUGAUUUACUUAAAGUUACAACAUGAAAUAGGUAGAGCUGCAUCUAAAAUCUAGAUUCUUCUUUCUCUGUACCCUUUUCUUCUUACUCAGUGCCCCUUUUCUCUAUGCAGAUAAACUCCUUUCUGAGCUCUGCAUUAGUCAAUUAUGAUGUUUUUGUCUAAAAGCACCAAGGAUGGGUAAAAAAUUGUUUAAGCUGGAAAGAGCCUGUAUGGUCUGUGACAGGUGCUGCGUAGGUUGGUUGAAAAAUAACUUAAAGAUUGUCUCCUUUCCCUAUGUGUUUUUGUUAACGCUUAUAAUACUUUUAUGACUUAGAGUCCUUCUGGUGCCUCUGGUAUAUUUCAGACUGAUUUUAGGUUGUCAGGAAAGGAGAUUUUCGCUCCAGAGCUCAAUUCCUUUAUAGCUUCUUAUUUUCCUUUGUAUCUGGAAAUUUAUUUCUUAGCCAGAGCUUAGAGUGGCAUCAGACUUAAGUUCCUACUGGGAAGACUGUUCCCUGCUGAUCUAUUUUUUUCUGCCUUCUUUUUUUUCACAUAGCCAAUCUCUCUUGCUAAGCACCUACCCCUGCCCCAUGCCGUUAAUUCCAGCUAUAGUUAUAUGCAAGGUUCUUGGAGUCAAAGGCCAGUGAGUUUUGGGGUAGGGAAAGGGUAUGAAGUUCCUCUCCCUUCUGAUUCCACGUGUUCCCCGCAAACCCUGAGAGUACCCUGUUGCUGUGCCCACUUCCCAGAACCCUGUGCCUUUCUUCAGACCGUUUAGGAGCAAAGAUCUGGGCAGUGGCCUUGAGGGAAAACAGACUUCCCAGAGAUUCUUCAGUGAGUUGAUUUGGUUUUUCCCAUAGUUUGAGCUUAAAA